AUACUUACCUGGCAAGGGAGAUACCAUGAUCAAGAAGGUGGUUCACCUUUAGCGAGGCUCAGCCAUUGCACUGAGGCUGUUGCUGACUGGAUGAGGAAUUCCCCAAAUGUGGGAAUCUCGAUUGCAUAAUUUCUGGUAGUGGGGGACUGCGUUCGCGCUCUCCCCUG
ensembl:snRNA U1 U1 spliceosomal RNA